rnacentral:rRNA from 1 species
UACAGAGGGGGCAAGCGUUGUUCGGAAUUACUGGGCGUAAAGGGCUCGUAGGUGGCCAACUAAGUCAGACGUGAAAUCCCUCGGCUUAACCGGGGAACGGCGUCUGAUACUGGAUGGCUUGAGUUUGGGAGAGGGAUGCGGAAUUCCAGGUGUAGCGGUGAAAUGCGUAGAUAUCUGGAGGAACACCGGUGGCGAAGGCGGCAUCCUGGACCAACACUGACACUGAGGAGCGAAAGCCAGGGGAGCAAACGGG